rnacentral:rRNA from 1 species
GACGAACCACACGAACGUUAUUCGGAAUUACUGGGCUUAAAGGGUGCGUAGGCGGCGUAGCAAGUUGGGUGUGAAAUCCCUCGGCUCAACCGGAGGAACUGCGCCCAAAACUGCUAUGCUUGAGGAAGAUAGAGGUAAGCGGAACUUACGGUGGAGCGGUGAAAUGCGUUGAUAUCGUAAGGAACACCUGUGGCGAAAGCGGCUUACUGGUCUUUUCUGACGCUGAUGCACGAAAGCCAGGGGAGCAAACGGG